rnacentral:rRNA from 1 species
CCUACGGGAGGCUGCAGUGGGGAAUAUUGGACAAUGGGGGAAACCCUGAUCCAGCGACGCCGCGUGAGUGAAGAAGUAUUUCGGUAUGUAAAGCUCUAUCAGCAGGGAAGAAAAUGACGGUACCUGACUAAGAAGCCCCGGCUAACUACGUGCCAGCAGCCGCGGUAAUACGUAGGGGGCAAGCGUUAUCCGGAUUUACUGGGUGUAAAGGGAGCGUAGACGGUUUGGCAAGUCUGAAGUGAAAGCCCGGGGCUCAACCCCGGAAUUGCUUUGGAAACUGUUAGACUGGAGUGUCGGAGAGGUAAGUGGAAUUCCCAGUGUAGCGGUGAAAUGCGUAGAUAUUGGGAGGAACACCGGUGGCGAAGGCGGCUUACUGGACGAUAACUGACGUUGAGGCUCGAAGGCGUGGGGAGCAAACAGGAUUAGAUACCCCAGUAGUC